rnacentral:lncRNA from 1 species
UAAAUCUUUUUAGUACUAAACUGCUUUGGAAUGAAUUUUUUGGGGGACAACAGCAGGAUUAGGGCCAUCUUCUAGAUGCCAUCAGGUAGGUGCGCAGCGUAGUCGUUUAUUGUAGCAUUAUAUCCCUUUUCCCCCUUUUUAAAAAAUGUUUGUAAGACGCCUGAAAUUGUAUAAGUUAGUUAUAUAAGUAGUUGAAUAAGAAUUGGUGAGACUUGCAAAAUAGAAGAGGACAGAGAAGAUGGAAGAGGAUUGCUAUGAAAUAGAAGGAAAGGAGAUAGAAGAUGUUCGAGAAAAAGAGGAUGAUUUGUUCGAUGUAACGGAAGUUUUUUGAAUGAAAUUUGGAGCAACUGUAUUAAGUUGUUAUUGGUAUCUUGGACAUCAAGUUUCAUUUAUUUAUGUAUUAUCCAAGCAUAUCUAUUGGUGGAAAUGUAGAAUGGUAGCUGUUAUAACAACUUGGAUGAAUUAUUAGAAACACCAAAGAAGUUUUGACAUAAUUUAAACUGGGAAAAAGCUCACAAAUGACCAAUUUAUUCUACAGUAGAUACAGGACACUAAGUUGACUUCAGCAACGCAGAUAUCUCUCAAAAAUGAUAUCUGUUCGAGUGAUGUACUGGGUGUUAAUAGUUGCUGUUACAAAUCUGCAAAUGAGUUACUACUGUACAUAAGUUGAAGGAAUGCCAAGGAAUUUUUUGCAUAAAAUGAUCUGAAAAUCUUACCCACCAAUGACAAUUUUAAGAUACAAUCAAUAGUAUUUGGAUUGAUUGGCCUUCAUUACCGUUGCGCUAUGAAAAUGUGGGCUGUACAAAUUGGUGUUGGUUUGAUAGCUUCUGUUUCCAGUUCAAGUUCCAGUUUUAAUGGACACAGAAAAAUGCCAUUUACUGGAUUGACUUCAACACCUGUUGCCUUUUAACAUUGGCAUACUUAGGACUGUUGCUAUUAGAAACCGAUAAGACAUACUAGCUGCAAAUAAUAUGAUUGGUGAUCAUAAAAGUGAUUUAAAUGGGAUGAAACUUAUGCAGAAGAAAUCUAGGAAAACCAUUUUGAACUGCUGUUACUUAAUAGCUGUUAGAGGGGAUCCAGUUCUUCAUCAAUGGUAUACGCUGGGACAAUUGCUGUUAAAAAUACACAAGCCGUACUAUCUGCAAAUAUUAUGGUGGACAUCAAAAAGCUUUAAAUGGAAUGAAACUUGCAGGAAAAGACUCAGAAAGACCAUUUAGGACUGUACUUAAUAGCUGUUGAAAAGUGGUCGCAGUCCUUUAUCAAUGAUAUCUCUGCAUUUUCUUAACAAUGGAUAUCAACAGUUGCUCCUACUCCUCACUUUCCUCUUUCUCUCAACAUAAAGCAGACUCAAUACUCCUCAAUGCUUCACCAAGGUUCGUUAGCUUCAUUAAUAGUGUUAUUGUUUCAAUAAAUUUGUUUAUUGGUUUUUAUCCUCUUACUAUAUAAUUAUAUCAGGCGUCAUUUUAAUGUUAAUUUUUUGUAAAAUUUUGAUAAUCUGGAUAGAAACCUUUUUUUUCUUAAGUUUUUGCAAUAUAAAACACUAGUUAAGAGCAAUACACCUUAUUUUAUGAAUAGGACCAUUAUCUCUGUUGAUAUUGUCUUUAUAUUUAUGCUUUGUGUUGCCUCUAGUUUGAGGGACGUUUGAUUAAUUUUAAAUCAUUCAAAUCAAUGCAAUAAUCUAUAUGUUGAGCAACAUGAUACUAAUCUGUUAUAAUUUUUCAUCUCAAGCUUUUUUUCAAUCUCACCUAUCUUAUAUUUACUUCCAUCAGUUCCAUCAUUAAAUUGUUAUUAAAUAACUAUAAUUUGUAUUCUGGAUUUCGUCAAAGGUAUUUUUUAAAAUAAUUAAAAAACAAUCUUUAUAGGCUUGUAUCAUUUCCAAUUUAUGUUUAUCUUGUAUUAUUUAUAUUUUCCUAAGCUUCUCUAAGUUUAUUCCAUAUUAUCAAAAUUAUAAUUUUUAUACUUGCGCAGCUGCGUCACUAUAGCCCUAUGAACACAAGUAUUAUUUUGGUUUUAAAGUUUAUGUUUUUUAAUAUUUCAUUUAUUGUAUUAACGCAAAACUAAAUUUUAUAGAAUUUAACUAACUAUAUCUUCAACCGGAUGAUAAUUUAAUAGUUAAUGGUCAAUUUAAUAUUUUUUCAUAAAAAUGAAAUGUGAUUAUUGAAUA